CAGCAGCUAAGGUGCCUAAAUAACGCUCAGUGGAAAGGAUGUGGGAUUACACAGACAGUGAGGAUGUUGGCUUAGAAGCAGCCACCAUUUAAAAAAUGCGUAAUAGCUUACUCAUCGAGUGAUCCUGCGCCGAAAAUGAUUGGCGAUCAAGCGUUAUACCGAAGCUCUGGACUUUGCCGCAAGGCAGAGUGGUAGAAGAGCGUUGCAUGCGCGUCGAAGGGCGAUGGCGACUGACCCUGGAGCACAUGCAAGUGAGUAUGCAGACAUGAGUAACGUUAAGCCGGGUGAAAUCCCCGGCCGCCGUAAACCCGAGGUUUCCAGGGCAACGUGUUUCGUCCCUGGGUUAGCCGGGACCUAAGCCGAGGCCGAGAGGCGUAGGCGAUGGACAUCAGGUUAAUAAUCCUGAGCUCGCAACCCUUAAACUGGGGGGACGCAUGAGAAAAGAUGACUAGGUUAUUGAAUUCCGAGUUGAGUCCACGGACUCAGCGCAUCAUUGGAUCGAGUGCCAAGAAAAGCCCCAGCGUAUGCUAAGCGACCCGUACCGCAAACCGACACAGGUGGGUGGGUAGAAUAUACCAAGGCGUAAGAGUGAAACCUGGUUAAGGAACUCGGCAAAUUAGCCCCGUAACUUCGGAAGAAGGGGUGCCUGCAGCGAUGCAGGCCGCAGAGAAAUGGCCCAACCGACUGUUUAUCAAAAACACAGCACUCUGCAAAGACGCAAGUCGAAGUAUAGGGUGUGACACGUGACCAAUGCCGAAAGAUUAAGGCAAGGGGUUAGCCGCAAGGCGAAGCUCUAAACCCAAGUCCCGGUGAAUGUCGGCCGUAACUAUAACGGUCCUAAGGUAGCGAAAUUCCUUGUCGGGUAAGUUCCGACCUGCACGAAUCGUGAAACGAGUUGGGCACUGUCUCAACCAGGCGCUCAGUGAAAUUGUAGUGGCGGUGAAGAUGCCGCCUACCCGCAGAAGGACGGAAAGACCCUAUAGACCUUAACUGUAAGCUGUCAUUGUUUCUUCGGUUUUAAUGCUCAGAGUAAGUGGGAGACGCUGAAGACGCCCUUUAGGGGGCGUCCGAGUCAUCAAUGAGACACCACCCUUUGAAACUGGAGGAUCUAACCCUGAGCCGUGAAUCCGGCCAGAGGACCGUGUCAGCCGGUCAGUUUUACUGGGGCGGUAUCCUCCCAAAGAGUAACGGAGGAGCGCGAAGGUGGGCUCAGCCCGGUUGGCAACCGGGUGUCGAGUGCAUGGGCAUAAGCCCGCCUAACUGUGAGACCAACAAGUCGAGCAGAUGCGAAAGCAGGCCCAAGUGAUCCGGCGGUAGAAAGUGGAAUUGCCGUCGCUCAACGGAUAAAAGGUACCUUAGGGAUAACAGGCUGAUCACGCCCAAGAGUUCAUAUC
rnacentral:rRNA from 1 species